AGCUCCAAUAGCGUAUAUUAAAGUUGUUGCAGUUAAAAGCUCGUAGUUGGAUUUCUGGCGUGAGGUGCUUGACCCGCCGCGGUUACGCGUGUGAGUGUCGGUGUGCCUCGGCCAUCCUUCUAGAAACUGGCUCUGCCCUUCAUUGGGUUGGGGUCAGGAUCUGGAUCUUUUACUUUGAAAAAUUAGAGUGUUUAAAGCAAGCUUUGCGUGAAUACAUUAGCAUGGAAUAAUAACUUAGGACUUUCGGUUCUAUUUUGUUGGUUUCUAGGACUGAAGUAAUGAUUGAUAGGGAUAGUUGGGGUGCUAGUAUUCAGCGGCCAGAGGUGAAAUUCUUGGAUUCGCUGAAGACUAACUUAUGCGAAAGCAUUCACCAAGGAUGUCUUC
rnacentral:rRNA from 1 species